GGUGCUACCAUGUUGCUGUGUGUCACCUACACAGAUGCAGUGCGAAGUCUGCCGAAUAAGUAUUGAUGUCAGAUCCUUGCAAUAAAUCGCCAAAUUAAAUGUAUAUAUAAGUGAUAUCUAUCAAAAUGGGAAAUGCAGUUGUAGACCGUACGCCAUGAUACAAGCUUGAGAUAUAUCUCAAGCUAUAGUGUGGUAGAUCUUACUCUAUAGUACUAGCUUGAUGUAGAUCUCACGACAAGUUGCGGUAAACCUUACGCUAUAAUACCAGCUUGAGGUUGACCUCACGCUAUAGUAGCAUCAAAAUAUGUAUUCUAUUCCCAAGAUAAUACUCAUGGAUUAGCAUAAUAGGAUUUAAUAUAUUAAAACCGAAGUAUACUGCAAUUCAACUAAGCUUCUUCAUAUGCGUACAACUAUCGGAUGGAAUUUUGGGAUUACUAUUACAUGUUCUAUUGAAGAUUGUGACAAUUGCAACAAGAAUUUAGAGAUCAAAUCCUGCGGAAUUGAAGUGGCUAUAAAUUUCAACUCGUCGGAAACAACAAUUGACUGUAACGAAAACGAAAAGUUUUUGAGACAUUACUAUCACCCACUUAUGUCAGAUCAAUAAUUGAUAUGAAUACAACAGAUAUAUCGGACUCAAACAAAAGCACACCCUUAAUAGACACUACUGGGUCAACUGAAGAUCAUUUUCCUUUAUUUGUGGUAGUAGGGAUGGUCACUGCUCUCGCCGUAUUAUUCAUAUUCCUGAUAGUACUAUUCUGUCAAACUUUUGCAAAAUCUCCAGCAAGAAACCAGCAGUAUCAUGAUGUCCAAUGUUCUAAUACUGGUUCUGGAAAAGGCUUGCUUCAAGGAAAGCAUAAGCGCUGUGAUGAUAUACGCAUAGUAUAUAGAAAUGAUACUUCUCAAGGCAAUCCACCCAGUGGAAGUGUAAUGACUGAAGUUGAUAUGACAUAAUACAAACUGUUCUAGUAUAAAGAAACAGUCUUGCAGUGCAAAAAGCGAAAAUCGCGAAGAUCUUGUAGAAUUUAACAAAAUUCCAAAUUUAGGUAUAUUCUAAUUUCACGUAUUGUAUAUAAGAAAUAUUUAAAAAACCCGUUUUUGAGUUUGUUUUUAAUAAUUUGUGAUAUCAGCAUUUACCAAUUCAUUUGAGAAUAUACUAUCAUUUUCUGCGGGAAAAUCCAUUUAGAAUAUCUGAAAACAAAAUUGAAAAUUCCCACCUUCGUUUGAUCUGUAUAGCAUGCAAUUUGAAUGGGAUUAAGUAAGUUGUACAUCUGUUUAGAAAAAAAUAGCCUAUUCUUCAGAUCACUGCCAAUUUGAAUAUCGAUGUGGUUAUUAGUCUAAACAUGUUUGCAAAACUUGGGCAAUGGAUGCUUGAAUAAAUGUAAAUCGACUAACAAAAACAUUUUGUAAAUAUCCUUGUCAAUGAAUAAUUUCGUUUCAAUAUUUGCCUUUGUCGUAAAUUGUAAAGUUACUGCAGUGGGAAGUCUACUAAGAUAUUGUGUAUCGAACUAAGGGUACUUUAUUCUUGUCUACUUUCAAUCUGGCCGUUGCGACAAGGAUACUUGAACGACAGAGUAUGAGAGUGAUAAAUAUUCUAUCUAUAUGAGGUCAUUGCCACAAGGUACUUGAAAGAGAUAGUAAUAGAAUAAUAAAUAUGAUAAACAUAUUCUCGUUCAACGAAAUAGCACAGAUAUUCCGUUAAAAAGAGAUGUUGUUAUUCUUAUUGAUGUAAUAUUAAGCGCAUCUAUAAUAGUGCGGGAUAAUUUCAAUUUUCUUUGUUUAUUUUGAACACGUUAUUUCAUGGAUAAUUUAUCAGUAAUGCCAUAUAGAGAUUAUCACAUAGCAAUGUUAUUUUUACACUGUCUUUAAACCGGAAGCUUUUGCUGAGCGUUUAAGGUUCGACUUUAUUGGCACUAAAAGCCAGAGAUAUCGGGCUCCAAACUACCCAAUGUAAACAGCUAGCUGCCCGAAAAUGUAAUAAAUUGCGUAUACUGUUAUAAAACCUAAAUUUGCCUCCCAUAGCCCAAUUCUGUGUGUAUAAAUAAGCCUUUCCCUAUUGGGAUCGGGAAUGCAUAAUACUUAAUAAAAAGCUAAAAUGAAGACGUAUUGGUCCGAUGUCAUGAAGAUUUAAUGUGUGUCACGAUAAAUGCGAUCAUAUUCUAACAUGUAACAAUCAUUGAUAUUUUCAGAUAAUACGUUUCUAAAUAUUCGUUCCACAAAGUAAAUUGUAUAAGCAUUUUUCCUGGUUCGGUAAUUACCUAGCCAAAUUAUUUAACCCUGGUUAAAAUGGAGGGCAGGUGGCUUAAUUAAGUCUGCUUGAUAAUCCACUUUCGAUGCUAAUAUAGUCAAGUUCUAUAGCCAGACUCCCAAACUCACUCGAAACCCGAAAAACACGCAUUUAAGCGUUUAAUCACAAAUGUUGUUAUUCAUAUGUACACACUAACGCAACACCAACGACAGCGAUAUGAUUUUAUUUCUGAUAAUACCCGCUCAUAUAAAGUUUGAAAUAUCUAAAUAUGGCUAUAUACCAAAUGUGCAAAUUAUUUUGAUAAUCGGUACGUUAAUAAUUUUUAAUUUGAAAAUAAAUAUUGUAUUAAACGUUCUUCUGUUUCAUGGGUGAUAAGUGGGAUUUGGAGGUGUGAAAUACAUAUUAUGAAGGAGGGAAUAUACUAUAAAUUUAGGGUUCCAAACUUCAGUUAGAUGUAUUAGCGAAAUUUCUUAAAAAAUGUUUUGAUCUGUAAUACCACGAACAAGAAAUGAGAUUAUUUUCUCACAUUUAUAGUUAUCUUAUACAACGUUUUAGAUUGUUCGAUCCACAAAAUCUUUUGUACAUAAACUACCGAUAUAUAACAGUUCUUAUUUUUAGAAACAAUUUAUUAUUCCUGGUUUUGCAUUGCCUACAACCGUCAGUUGCUGUGUCAACAAAUUUAAUCUAUCCAUCCGCACUCAUGCGAAAGUCAACAACAUGUAUUUUAACGUUUUAUCAUAAAUGGUGCGGUUCAUGAUACCCACAGCAGUGCAGCAAAAAUGACAGCGACAUUCUAUUAUUUCUAAUAAUAUCGACUCAUGAAAUAUUUAAAUAACUAUAUCUGUGUUAAAUUAAUCGUGCAUAUAAUUUUGCUAUUCAGUACGUUAAUAAUUUUUACUUUGAAAAGGAAUAUUAAACUUUUUAUUUCAA